GCCAGACUCCUACGGGAGGCAGCAGUGGGGAAUAUUGGGCAAUGGGCGCAAGCCUGACCCAGCAACGCCGCGUGAAGGAAGAAGGCUUUCGGGUUGUAAACUUCUUUUAAGAGGGAAGAGCAGAAGACGGUACCUCUUGAAUAAGCCACGGCUAACUACGUGCCAGCAGCCGCGGUAAUACGGAGGAUCCGAGCGUUAUCCGGAUUCAUUGGGUUUAAAGGGUGCGUAGGUUGUUUUAUAAGUUAGCGGUGAAAUACCGAUGCUCAACAUCGGGGCUGCCGCUAAUACUGUAGGACUAGAGAUCGGAUGCAGCAGGCGGAAUGUGUAGUGUAGCGGUGAAAUGCAUAGAUAUUACACAGAACUCCGAUUGCGAAGGCAGCAUACCGGCGCCCAACUGACGCUGAAGCACGAAAGCGUGGGUAUCGAACAGGAUUAGAUACCCCUGUAGC
rnacentral:rRNA from 1 species